GAUCCUGUGCAACCGCACGAACAUCGUUGCUCGUCGUAUAACAAAUUUAAACUUCGUCAUUAUCGCCUUGCCUAACAUAAGUUAUGUCUUCAGCUUAAUUCCUAGUUUAUUCUUUGUUAUACUAAGAGCUCUUCUUUUAAGUGGUUCGUCCCACGAUGCUAGGCGAGUCUUCACAAAAAU
rfam:Mycobacterium abscessus subsp. abscessus strain 57 genome assembly, contig: ERS244815SCcontig000006